AUUGAACGCUGGCGGCAGGCCUAACACAUGCAAGUCGAACGAGUGGCGGACGGGUGAGUAAUGUCUGGGAAACUGCCUGAUGGAGGGGGAUAACUACUGGAAACGGUAGCUAAUACCGCAUACCAUCAGAUGUGCCCCGAUGGGAUUAGCACGGGGGUGGGGUAACGGCUCACCAAGGCGACGAGCCCUAGCUGGUCUGAGAGGAUGACCAGCCAGACUGGAACUGAGACACGGUCCAGACGCCUACGUGAGGCAGCAGUGGGGAAUAUUGCACAAUGGGGGCAAGCCUGAUGCAGCCAUGCCGCGUGUAUGAAGAAGGCCUUAGGGUUGUAAAGUACUUUCAGCGGGGAGGCGUUACCCGCAGAAGAAGCACCGGCUAACUCCGUGCCAGCAGCCGCGGUAAUUC
rnacentral:rRNA from 1 species